rnacentral:rRNA from 1 species
AGAUGAGUUCUCCCUGAGACUUUAAGUCUCCUGAAGGAACGUUGAAGACGACGACGUUGAUAGGUCGGGUGUGUAAGUGUAGCGAUACAUUGAGCUAACCGAUACUAAUGAACCGUGAGGCUUAACCUUACAACGCCGAAG